rnacentral:lncRNA from 1 species
CUGGUGAAACUCGAUUUCCAGGAUAAGCGCUCCGUAGUUUCUGCGCUCCAGGUCCACUACCUAGUGAAACUCGACUUCAGGGACAACCGCUCCGUAGUUUCUGCACUCCAGGUCCACUAGCUAGUGAAACUCGACUUCAGGGACAAGCGCUUCGUAGUUUCUGCACUCCAGGUCCACUAUCUGGUGAAACUCUGGACGGAAGGAGGAGGACGAGGAAGACGAGGAGAACAAGGUGGGCAAGGAGGAAGAGGAUUUGUGCACGUAUUCGGGGUAUAACCCGAGGUGGUCAGCGGUGGUCGUUGGAGGUGGUUAGAGGUGGUAAAGGGUGGUUGCGGGUGUUCGAGGUGGAUGAGGAGGAGGAAGACGAGGACGACGAGGAGAACGAGGAUUUCUGCACAGUAUAACUCGAGGUGGUUAUCGGUGGUUGUUGGAGGGGGUUGGCGGUGGUUGGAGAUGGUCGGAGGUGGAUGAGGAGGAGGACGGGGAAGACGAGGAGAACAAGGUGGACGAGGAUGUGUGCACUAUGAGUAUAACAUACUAAAAUAUU